rnacentral:misc_RNA from 1 species
GGAUGAAGAACGCAGCGAAAUGCGAUAAGUAAUGUGAAUUGCAGAAUUCAGUGAAUCAUCGAAUCUUUGAACGCACAUUGCGCCCGCCAGUAUUCUGGCGGGCAUGCCUGUUCGAGCGUCAUUUCAACCAUCAAGCCCUGCUUGCGUUGGGGUCCUGCGGCUGCCCGCAGGCCCUGAAAACCAGUGGCGGGCUCGCUAGUCACACCGAGCGCAGUAAUACAUCUCGCUUUGGGCGUGCGGCGGGUUCUUGCCGUUAAACACCCCCUUUUUACCAAGGUUGACCUCGGAUCAGGUAGGAAUACCCGCUGAACUUAAGCAUAUCAAUAAGCGGAGGA